GCUGCCUCUAGAGGUGUUGCAGGUGUGGCUACUGAGUCACGUGUGUAUCAGUAGGUGUUAGAGACGAGAGAGAAUAUGUCUAGGCUCAGUGCUCUGACCUGUGAAUGUCUUAAUGAUUAGUAGCCUAACAUU